rnacentral:rRNA from 1 species
UAAGGAAUAUUGGACAAUGGGCGCAAGCCUGAUCCAGCCAUGCCGCGUGAGUGAAGAAGGCCUUCGGGUUGUAAAGCUCUUUCGGCCGGGAAGAAAUCGUGUUCUCUAACAUAGGACAUGGAUGACGGUACCGGACUAAGAAGCACCGGCUAACUACGUGCCAGCAGCCGCGGUAAUACGUAGGGUGCGAGCGUUAAUCGGAAUUACUGGGCGUAAAGCGUGCGCAGGCGGUUUUGUAAGACAGAUGUGAAAUCCCCGGGCUUAACCUGGGAACUGCGUUUGUGACUGCAAGGCUAGAGUACGGCAGAGGGGGGUGGAAUUCCUGGUGUAGCAGUGAAAUGCGUAGAUAUCAGGAGGAACACCGAUGGCGAAGGCAGCCCCCUGGGCCUGUACUGACGCUCAUGCACGAAAGCGUGGGGAGCAAACA